rfam:Hordeum vulgare subsp. vulgare, WGS project CAJW01000000 data, contig: morex_contig_102599
AUGAUACUCCCUUCGUUUUAAAAUUGUUUUAAGUUUGUCUAUAAAUGAAUGUAUCUAAAUACCAAAACGUCACUAGAUAUAUUUAUUUUAAACAAAUCUAAGACAAGAAUUUUGAGACGGAGGGAGUAGAUA